rnacentral:rRNA from 1 species
UGGGGAAUCUUCCGCAAUGGACGAAGGUCUGACGGAGCAACGCCGCGUGAGUGAAGAAGGUUUUCGGAUCGUAAAACUCUGUCUUUUGGGGCGAACGUGAGUAUGGUGAACAAUCAUAGUCAGUGACGGUACCAAAGGAGGAAGCCACGGCUAACUACGUGCCAGCAGCCGCGGUAAUACGUAGGUGGCAAGCGUUGUCCGGAAUUAUUGGGCGUAAAGAGCGCGUAGGCGGGAUAGUCAGUCUGUUGUAAAAGUGCGGGGCUCAACCCCGUGAUGGCAAUGGAAACAGCUAUUCUUGAGUGCAGGAGAGGAAAGUGGAAUUCCCAGUGUAGCGGUGAAAUGCGUAGAUAUUGGGAGGAACACCAGUGGCGAAGGCGACUUUCUGGACUGUGUCUGACGCUGAGGCGCGAAAGCCAGGGGAGCGAACGGGAUUAGAUACCCCGGUAGUCCUGGCCGUAAACGAUGGGUACUAGGUGUGGGAGGUAUCGACCCCUUCCGUGCCGGAGUUAACGCAAUAAGUACCCCGCCUGGGGAGUACGGUCGCAAGACUGAAACUCAAAUGAAUUGACGGGGUCAUAGCUGUUUCCUG